CUCGAUGAGUAGGGCGGGACACGUGGUAUCCUGUCUGAAUAUGGGGGGACCAUCCUCCAAGGCUAAAUACUCCUGACUGACCGAUAGUGAACCAGUACCGUGAGGGAAAGGCGAAAAGAACCCCGGCGAGGGGAGUGAAAAAGAACCUGAAACCGUGUACGUACAAGCAGUGGGAGCACCCUUUGGGGUGUGACUGCGUACCUUUUGUAUAAUGGGUCAGCGACUUAUAUUCUGUAGCAAGGUUAACCGAAUAGGGGAGCCGGAGGGAAACCGAGUCUUAAUUGGGCGUUAAGUUGCAGGGUAUAGACCCGAAACCCGGUGAUCUAGCCAUGGGCAGGUUGAAGGUUGGGUAACACUAACUGGAGGACCGAACCGACUAAUGUUGAAAAAUUAGCGGAUGACCUGUGGCUGGGGGUGAAAGGCCAAUCAAACCGGGAGAUAGCUGGUUCUCCCCGAAAGCUAUUUAGGUAGCGCCUCGUGAAUUCAUCUCCGGGGGUAGAGCACUGUUUCGGCUAGGGGGCCAUCCCGGCUUACCAACCCGAUGCAAACUGCGAAUACCGGAGAAUGUUAUCACGGGAGACACACGGCGGGUGCUAACGUCCGUCGUGAAGAGGGAAACAACCCAGACCGCCAGCUAAGGUCCCAAAGUCAUGGUUAAGUGGGAAACGAUGUGGGAAGGCCCAGACAGCCAGGAUGUUGGCUUAGAAGCAGCCAUCAUUUAAAGAAAGCGUAAUAGCUCACUGGUCGAGUCGGCCUGCGCGGAAGAUGUAACGGGGCUAAACCAUGCACCGAAGCUGCGGCAGCGACGCUGAUGCGUUGUUGGGUAGGGGAGCGUUCUGUAAGCCUGUGAAGGUGGCCUGUGAGGGUUGCUGGAGGUAUCAGAAGUGCGAAUGCUGACAUAAGUAACGAUAAAGCGGGUGAAAAGCCCGCUCGCCGGAAGACCAAGGGUUCCUGUCCAACGUUAAUCGGGGCAGGGUGAGUCGACCCCUAAGGCGAGGCCGAAAGGCGUAGUCGAUGGGAAACGGGUUAAUAUUCCCGUACUUGGUGUUACUGCGAAGGGGGGACGGAGAAGGCUAUGUUGGCCGGGCGACGGUUGUCCCGGUUUAAGCGUGUAGGUGUGUGUUCCAGGUAAAUCCGGUUCACUUUAACACUGAGGCGUGAUGACGAGGCACUACGGUGCUGAAGCAACAAAUGCCCUGCUUCCAGGAAAAGCCUCUAAGCAUCAGGUAACAUCAAAUCGUACCCCAAACCGACACAGGUGGUCAGGUAGAGAAUACCAAGGCGCUUGAGAGAACUCGGGUGAAGGAACUAGGCAAAAUGGUGCCGUAACUUCGGGAGAAGGCACGCUGACAUGUAGGUGAAGUGAUUUACUCAUGGAGCUGAAGUCAGUCGAAGAUACCAGCUGGCUGCAACUGUUUAUUAAAAACACAGCACUGUGCAAACACGAAAGUGGACGUAUACGGUGUGACGCCUGCCCGGUGCCGGAAGGUUAAUUGAUGGGGUCAGCGCAAGCGAAGCUCCUGAUCGAAGCCCCGGUAAACGGCGGCCGUAACUAUAACGGUCCUAAGGUAGCGAAAUUCCUUGUCGGGUAAGUUCCGACCUGCACGAAUGGCGUAAUGAUGGCCAGGCUGUCUCCACCCGAGACUCAGUGAAAUUGAACUCGCUGUGAAGAUGCAGUGUACCCGCGGCAAGACGGAAAGACCCCGUGAACCUUUACUAUAGCUUGACACUGAACAUUGAGCCUUGAUGUGUAGGAUAGGUGGGAGGCUUUGAAGUGUGGACGCCAGUCUGCAUGGAGCCGACCUUGAAAUACCACCCUUUAAUGUUUGAUGUUCUAACGUGGACCCGUGAUCCGGGUUGCGGACAGUGUCUGGUGGGUAGUUUGACUGGGGCGGUCUCCUCCUAAAGAGUAACGGAGGAGCACGAAGGUUGGCUAAUCCUGGUCGGACAUCAGGAGGUUAGUGCAAUGGCAUAAGCCAGCUUGACUGCGAGCGUGACGGCGCGAGCAGGUGCGAAAGCAGGUCAUAGUGAUCCGGUGGUUCUGAAUGGAAGGGCCAUCGCUCAACGGAUAAAAGGUACUCCGGGGAUAACAGGCUGAUACCGCCCAAGAGUUCAUAUCGACGGCGGUGUUUGGCACCUCGAUGUCGGCUCAUCACAUCCUGGGGCUGAAGUAGGUCCCAAGGGUAUGGCUGUUCGCCAUUUAAAGUGGUACGCGAGCUGGGUUUAGAACGUCGUGAGACAGUUCGGUCCCUAUCUGCCGUGGGCGCUGGAGAACUGAGGGGGGCUGCUCCUAGUACGAGAGGACCGGAGUGGACGCAUCACUGGUGUUCGGGUUGUCAUGCCAAUGGCACUGCCCGGUAGCUAAAUGCGGAAGAGAUAAGUGCUGAAAGCAUCUAAGCACGAAACUUGCCCCGA
rnacentral:rRNA from 1 species